UAGCAUCUCCCUGCAGGUUGCAAAAAGUAAAUCUGUUCUACUCUAUAGGCAACAGGUUUGACUGGGGGAAUCAGCUAAACCCCAACUGAAAAACUGUCCACAUCUUUGACAGAAGAGACCAACCUUUUGACAACUCUACAGGCAACAGGUUUGACUGGGGGAAUCAGCUAAACCCCAACUGAAAAACUGUCCACAUCUUUGACAGAAGAGACCAACCUUUUGACAACUCUACAGGCAACAGGUUUAACUGGGGGAAUCAGCCAAACCCCAACUGAAAAAUUGUCCACAACAUCUUUGAUAGAAGAGACCAACCAUUUGACAACUGUACAAGUGAAAAAAGUAACUGACCUGUUGAAUGAACCCCUGUCAAUCAACUGCAACUACUCAAAAAAAUCUCUCUGUCAGGUUAGUUGUAAGGAUUCCUCCCCCCCAAAGUGAUGAUGAAGAUUUUAACAUUAUUGUAGUGAAGACAGAUGUUCACCAUCCCAACCUUGCACCUAAACCACACAAACCAGUUAAUGAUCUUACAACCUCAUCUACUACUACACCUGCAAACCACCCUUAAACUCAAAGAUAUUAGCAGAGGGACAAACUCUACAUGACUUUUUCAAUAGAAAUAUAGCAUUUUACAAAAGACAGAUCAUUAACAACAACAUCAUUACAGCUCAUACUGAAAACCAGAUUUUUGUAGAGGCAAUACACAGGAAGAAAGCCAAACUGAAGCACUCUCAAAAAACAAGAAUCUUCACGAAAACCAU